rnacentral:lncRNA from 1 species
ACUAGAGAUUUGGUUAGCAUCGAGAAAUGCAAUUAUGAACUAGUAUAAAAAACUAGUUAGAGUUAAAUUGUGACAUUGUUGUCAGUUGAAUCCUCUAAAGGGGGAUCAGAUCUUACUCACAUAGUCUGUUUUCUUAGCUUGGUGGUGGUCGCUCCCCCCAGGCAGUGAGUUCCGGAGUAGUCACUUGUUGGGCUAACGUACUUGCCCCAGGACUAACGUACUUGUCCGACAGACGGUCCCAUCGGGAGGCAGCUUAG